CGAAUGCGGCCGCCGCCUUGGAAACGGCGAGGGAGCGCGGGUGGUGUGUGCAUGUCUGCGUCUCGGUGGCAGGCAGGGGUGAGCCCAGCCACUCACCUUCCAGGAAGCGUGGAUUCCUGGAAGUGAGGGGAACCGCCGUCAUUUCGCAGGCAGCGGCAGCGGCACGGUGCUCCAUGACACAUCUUGGGCAAAAUCAGCCUUUAGCUGCCUACAACUGGUCUAAGUGCCAAGUUGGUAGCCCUGGGAGUGAGAUAGGAUUGAGAUUCUGCUGUUCCAGAUCCUGGUAUUCCGAGAGCCAGGAGUGCAUCAGGAGAUGUACUUCACUGUUUGCUCAAGUCUCCAGUGAUUAUUAACAAGACAGAACUUCCCACCUGCCUGGGAUGGAGCGGUUCAGGUACUACAAGUACACCAAACCCAGAGCAUCAUCCUCUCCUGCCUGCGCCUUCCUGAACUGAAUGAAAUCUGAGCAAAAAUAUGUUGGAACCACAUAGCCGGCUCUGCUCUUUAUCAGGACUAUGCAUAACUGCAGAAGGGUAAGGGGCAAAGGCUUGAGGGAAAAGGUGAAAACAGGCCUUGUCUGCAACCUGACUAUAUGCCCCUUUCCAGGAACCAGGCCUUGACAUCGGGCAAAUGGCAGCUCUGAAAUGAUCUUUCGGGUCCAUGUAGUGCCCUCUGAAGGAAACCCACCAAUCUUUUCUCUGCUUAUGUGUCUGUAUUUACAGCAGAAAGAUCUGACUCAGCGUUCCCAUAGUGACACAACAAGAUUGGCAGCAUCUCUGCAGUGCCAGGAUGCAGGUUCGAUCCUUGGCCUGGCACAGUGGGUUAAAGGCUCUGGUAUUGCCACAGCUGUGGUAUAUGUCACAACUGCAGCUCAGAUCUGAUCCCUGGCCUGGAAACUCCAUAUGCAGCAGGGUGAGCAAGAAAGAAAGAAAGAGAGAGAGAGAGAAAGAAAGGAAGGAAAGGAAGGAAGGAAGGAAGAUCUGACUCAUUUUCUCACCAGGUUGUGGAUAGUGACCUUCUGUCUACAUGCAACACAGAUGAAGACAGCUCAGCUUCGUUAUCCAAGUGCUUGGGGAGCAAUGCGGAGGGGAUGAGUGCCCAGGUCACCCUAGGAAUGGCCAGUCUCUAAAAUAAAAAGGGGAAAGAGCUGGAAACAC